rnacentral:rRNA from 1 species
AGUCGAACGUGAAGCCCGAGCUUGCCCGGGUGGAAAGUGGCGAACGGGUGCGUAACACGUGAGGAACCUGCCCCGAAGACCGGGAUAACCCGAGGAAACUCGAGCUAAUACCGGAUGUCCUCACCGGAUCGCAUGGUCUGGUGAGGAAAUGGAUUCCGCUUCGGGAUGGCCUCGCGGCCUAUCAGCUUGUUGGUGGGGUAAUGGCCUACCAAGGCAACGACGGGUAGCUGGUCUGAGAGGAUGUCCAGCCACACUGGGACUGAGACACGGCCCAGACUCCUACGGGAGGCAGCAGUGGGGAAUCUUGCACAAUGGGCGAAAGCCUGAUGCAGCGACGCCGCGUGCGGGAUGAAGGCCCUCGGGUCGUAAACCGCUUUCAGCAGGGACGAUAGUGACGGUACCUGCAGAAGAAGCCCCGGCCAACUACGUGCCAGCAGCCGCGGUAAUACGUAGGGGGCAAGCGUUGUCCGGAUUUAUUGGGCGUAAAGAGCUCGUAGGCGGUUCGAUAAGUCGGGUGUGAAAUCUCCAGGCUCAACCUGGAGGCGCCACUCGAUACUGUCGUGACUUGAGUUCGGUAGAGGAGUAUGGAAUUCCCGGUGUAGCGGUGAAAUGCGCAGAUAUCGGGAGGAACACCCGUAGCGAAGGCGGUACUCUGGGCCGAAACUGACGCUGAGGAGCGAAAGCGUGGGGAGCGAACAGGAUUAGAUACCCUGGUAGUCCACGCCGU